rnacentral:rRNA from 1 species
UGGGGAAUAUUGGGCAAUGGGGGAAACCCUGACCCAGCAACGCCGCGUGAAGGAAGAAGGCCUUCGGGUUGUAAACUUCUUUUAGCAGGGACGAAGGACGUGACGGUACCUGCAGAAAAAGCAACGGCUAACUACGUGCCAGCAGCCGCGGUAAUACGUAGGUUGCAAGCGUUGUCCGGAAUUACUGGGUGUAAAGGGCGUGUAGGCGGAGAAGCAGACUAGGAAGUGAAAUCCAUGGGCUUAACCCAUGAACUGCUUUUGAAACUGUUUCCCUUGAGUAUCGGAGAGGCAGGCGGAAUUCCUAGUGUAGCGGUGAAAUGCGUAGAUAUUAGGAGGAACACCAGUGGCGAAGGCGGCCUGCUGGACGACAACUGACGCUGAGGCGCGAAAGCGUGGGGAGCAAACAGGAUUAGAUACCCUGGUAGU